AACCCACCUCCCUCUAGCACCCGUACAGGAAGGCCAGUCAAACAUAAAGCUGAAGGGAAACCCCAAAACCUGACUUUUGAACAGACUGUUCAGACAGCUGCUAGCCAAUACUUCUGAGAAAACAGCCAUCUGAAUAAGCAGUGUUUGAGUCUACAGCCACUUUCAAUUCAUCCUGAAUGAGAAAACAGCCAUCAUGGUGUCUUUGGAAGUGGUUCUGUUGGUAGCGGUUUUGGGAUUGAUUGUGGUUGCAGUGGUGGCAGUCCUGGUGGCAAAGAAUUGGAGGGGCCGCCAAAAAAACCAAACCAAAUAAAGGCUGAGUGAAGAGUCCAUUCCCCUACAAUGAAAACUCAAUGGAAUAAUGACUCAAUAAAAAAUUAAAACAAAGAUGAAAGGCAA